UACGUAGGGACCAAGCGUUGUCCGGAAUCAUUGGGCGUAAAGCGCGCGUAGGUGGCCAUUUAAGUCUGCUGUGAAAGUCAGAGGCUCAACCUUUGAAAGCCGGUGGAUACUGGAUGGCUAGAGUACGGAAGAGGCGAGUGGAAUUCCUGGUGUAGCGGUGGAAUGCGCAGAUAUCAGGAGGAACACCAAUAGCGAAGGCAGCUCGCUGGGACGUUACUGACACUAAGGCGCGAAAGCGUGGGGAGCGAACAGG
rnacentral:rRNA from 1 species